GACGAACGCUGGCGGCGUGCUUAACACAUGCAAGUCGAACGGAAAGGCCCUGCUUUUGUGGGGUGCUCGAGUGGCGAACGGGUGAGUAACACGUGAGUAACCUGCCCUUGACUUUGGGAUAACUUCAGGAAACUGGGGCUAAUACCGGAUAGGAGCUCCUGCUGCAUGGUGGGGGUUGGAAAGUUUCGGCGGUUGGGGAUGGACUCGCGGCUGAUCAGCUUGUUGGUGGGGUAGUGGCUUACCAAGGCUUUGACGGGUAGCCGGGCUGGGAGGGUGACCGGGGAGACGGGGACGAGGGGGCGGGACAGAGCCCCACGGGAGGCAGGGGGGGGAGAGGGGGGAAAAUGGGCGGAAGGGGGAGCGAUCAACGCCGCGAGCGCGGGGAGGGGGUGCGGGGUGUUAGGCUGUUACAGGACCUACGCAGGGCCGAAGAGGGGGGUGACGGUAGGGACAAAAGAAGCACCGGCCAACUACGUG
rnacentral:rRNA from 1 species